rnacentral:rRNA from 1 species
CGGAGGGUGAGUAAUGUCUGGGAAACUGCCCGAUGGAGGGGGAUAACUACUGGAAACGGUAGCUAAUACCGCAUAACGUCGCAAGACCAAAGAGGGGACCUUCGGGCCUCUUGCCAUCGGAUGUGCCCAGAUGGGAUUAGCUAGUAGGUGGGGUAACGGCUCACCUAGGCGACGAUCCCUAGCUGGUCUGAGAGGAUGACCAGCCACACUGGAACUGAGACACGGUCCAG